rnacentral:rRNA from 1 species
UACGGAGGGUGCAAGCGUUGUCCGGAAUUAUUGGGCGUAAAGAGCUCGUAGGCGGUUUGUCGCGUCUGCUGUGAAAACGCGAGGCUCAACCUCGCGCCUGCAGUGGGUACGGGCAGACUAGAGUGCGGUAGGGGAGAUUGGAAUUCCUGGUGUAGCGGUGAAAUGCGCAGAUAUCAGGAGGAACACCGAUGGCGAAGGCAGGUCUCUGGGCCGAUACUGACGCUGAGGAGCGAAAGCGUGGGGAGCGAACAGG